UAUACCUUAUGAUAUUACAUAUAUCUACACAUGUAAUUUGCUCACCCACUUUCACUGAAUGUAGAAAGCAGAUAUAUUGUUAUAUAUAUCGUGACUUUAGUUGGUCUCUUAAUCUUGGAGCGAGGCUCUCAUUUGAAAAACUCAUGCUCCGAUCGAUCUGUGCCUUUCCUUCUCUUCCUUCCGUCUUAACAAAGGAGGCUUUUUUGGUACCGAUGGUUUAGGUGGUUUUUAAGCAGGGACAUCUGAAUUCAUCAGUCGGUACGGUACCCUAAUUUAGUUUGUUUCUAUUAACUUUUUGUAUUUUCUUCCAUAUAUAAUGUUACUCUAAAACGUAUUCCCAUUUUUAAAUUGUCAUUUCAUUUACUA